rnacentral:rRNA from 1 species
GGGCCCCGCACAAGCAGCGGAGCGUGUGGUUUAAUUCGAUGUUACACGAAGAACCUUACCAGGGUUUGACAUGCAAGUGGUAGGAAGCCGAAAGGUGACCGACCCUUCGGGGAGCUUUGCACAGGUGCUGCAUGGCUGUCGUCAGCUCGUGUCGUGAGAUGUUCGGUUAAGUCCGCUAACGAGCGCAACCCUCGCUGUGUGUUAUAUGUGUCACACGGGACCGCCGGUCUUAAGCCGGAGGAAGGUGGGGAUGACGUCAAGUCAGCAUGGCCUUUAUAUCCUGGGCUACACACACGCUACAAUGGCCAACACAAUAGGUUGCUAAGCCGCGAGGUGGAGCCAAUCCAUAAAGUUGGUCUCAGUUCAGAUUGUAGGCUGCAACCCGCCUGCAUGAAGAUGGAGUUGCUAGUAACCGCAGGUCAGCUAUACUGCGGUGAAUACGUUCCCGGGGCUU